UUUGUCUGAGAAGUUGCCUGCUAAGGAUUUUGAGACUAUUCCCACUUGUAAGAAUAAUAAGGGGUGCCAAGAUUCUCUCCUUUCUUCAAUAUGAUGAGUUCAAAGAUCAUCCUGUUUACUUCAAAUGUGAAAUCAGAAAGAUUCAAGCAGAGAAGGUUUUUCUUAUAUCUAUUAGACAUAUUGCUGUUGAUGGGAAGUUGAGAAGUCAGUAUGUACAACAGAUUUCUUCCAUGUUCAGUUAUCGUCUGAGAUGUUGUCUAAGGAAUUUGAGGCUAUUCCUACUGUAAGAAUGAAUAAAGGAUGCCAAAAUUACCUCCUUGAUUCAGUAUAAAAUGAAGUUCCAAUCCUCAUAAGCAUUUA